rnacentral:tRNA from 1 species
AGAGAUUUAGGAUAGCUAGACCAAAGACCUUCAAAGCCUUAAGCGGGAGUGAAACCCUCCCAAUCUCUG